AUUGAACGCUGGCGGCAGGCCUAACACAUGCAAGUCGAACGGUAGCACAGAGGAGCUUGCUCCUUGGGUGACGAGUGGCGGACGGGUGAGUAAUGUCUGGGAAACUGCCCGAUGGAGGGGGAUAACUACUGGAAACGGUAGCUAAUACCGCAUAACGUCGCAAGACCAAAGAGGGGGACCUUCGGGCCUCUUGCCAUCGGAUGUGCCCAGAUGGGAUUAGCUAGUAGGUGGGGUAACGGCUCACCUAGGCGACGAUCCCUAGCUGGUCUGAGAGGAUGACCAGCCACACUGGAACUGAGACACGGUCCAGACUCCUACGGGAGGCAGCAGUGGGGAAUAUUGCACAAUGGGCGCAAGCCUGAUGCAGCCAUGCCGCGUGUAUGAAGAAGGCCUUCGGGUUGUAAAGUACUUUCAGCGAGGAGGAAGGCAUUAAGGUUAACAACCUUAGUGAUUGACGUUACUCGCAGAAGAAGCACCGGCUAACUCCGUGCCAGCAGCCGCGGUAAUACGGAGGGUGCAAGCGUUAAUCGGAAUUACUGGGCGUAAAGCGCACGCAGGCGGUCUGUCAAGUCGGAUGUGAAAUCCCCGGGCUCAACCUGGGAAC
rnacentral:rRNA from 1 species